UUGAAAAACUAUUGUUAGUUUUUUAUAUCCCAUUGUUUUAUCUACCCUGUUGCUUCUACUGGACUUGUUUUACCUCUAGGUAAAACCUCAGGCUAGUGUGAACCACACUUGUCAGAGAGCUGCCGGUAGCAAGACCACUUACUAAAACCUGUUGUGAAAUAUAUUGUCUGAAUUUUUUGUCUUGAAAAUGAAAUA
rnacentral:misc_RNA from 1 species